rnacentral:rRNA from 1 species
AUGAACCUCGUGACGGCGGCGGGCGGGAAGUUCUACGCGAGCCUGCUGGGCGCCACCGUCCUGACGCUGGAGUUCUCGCCGGGUCCGGCCUUCGCAGAAACCCCUAUCGCCGAGCAGCCAUGUCACCCGAUGUACCGCGUCUGGAGCCUUCACCUGCUGGAGUCACGCGGGGAGCUCUUCAGCGUCUCCCUGUACCACCCGUUGAUGGAGCGGUGCGACAAGGUUGCCCAGAUAGUCGUCCGCAGGCUCGACUUGCCGGCGAGGGCUUGGGUGGAGGUGGACGCCGUCGGGGACCGGGCCUUCUUCUUGGUCGACGCCGUCCACUUUGGCGCGUCGCUUGGCGCGGAGGAGGCCGGUCUCAAGGGGAACUGCGUUUACUAUCUGAGGCGCGGAGAAAAGGGGCUGUAUGUCUACGACAUGGGGCGUGGAACCACUGCCAUGCACGACCCCGGUCCGGAUUUGCCGACUAGG